GCAAUUGACUGCCGAAGACAGCAGGUGCCGUAAGGCAUAAGUUUGAACCGCCUGCCGAGGAAGAUCAUGAUUCUUAAUGUGAAUCAUUGAGCCUCUGUGUCUUUGGACACAGGGGCUUUUAUUUUU
rnacentral:sRNA from 1 species